GACGGAACGGCCAGCAGCCCUGGAGAAGGAUGAUGAUGAAUUCGAUGCUUACAGAAAAAGAAUGAUGCUGGCUUACCGAUUCCGACCAAACCCAUUGAAUAAUCCAAGGAGACCUUAUUAUUGAUGUGAAGAAAUGGAAAUGUGUGCAAGGAAUUACGAACAAGUGCAUUAGAAUUUUAUUGAAAAUGACAAUAGAUAUAUCAUACACUUUCACCAGACAUGCAUGAUCUUGCUAAGUGUACUAGGUAAUGCACAUAGACUGGAGUAGUGUCUGCUAUUUCUGAACGAAACAGAAAUUAAAUUUUUUUUCUUAGUAAAUUGUCAAGUUUAAUCAUUUCAUUAGUUUGUUGUCAAACAAUAUUGUAAAAAUGAUUUGUGUCUCGUAAAAAUCAAAUAUGAAAAUCUGGCGAGAGAAGAAAAUAUUUAUGUACUGAUGUAAGAAUUCUUUUGAAUGAUUUUUUUUUUUGAAGGCUUUUUUUAAUUUAUGAGUUUUGAUAAAUUUUUUGUUAGAAAACCAUCAAAAGAAACAGUGUGCAUGUUUUAAGUAAGAGGCAGAGUUUAUGAAAAUUCAUUUAAUUCUGUGGGCAUUUCUUAUUUAUAUCCUAGCAAUUAUGUGGUUCAUGGAAAUGCAUCAGUUACAUAUGCUGCAUUACAAGAUGCAAACAUUGUAUAGAAGCCUCUGUAUACCUGUUUUCUGUAAUACAAUUAUACAUGUAGUUCAUUGUUUUUUUUAUACAUGUAUGAUUUUCUGAUUUGAUUUUCCUCUUUGUUCUAUUAUGACCUAAGCUGUUAUAUGUUAAAAACAUUUCAUUUGAUGUAAUAAAAUCACUGCUAAUUGUUGC
rnacentral:misc_RNA from 1 species